AAAUAAUACUCAAUAGUCUCAUUUUAUCUUCGGAUAAUAAUGAGUAAAGAUUUUUCGAUUAGGGAUAGGCCUGCGUCUUAUCAGGUUGUUGGCGGGGUAAAGGCCCACCAAGCCUAUGACGAGUAGGGGACCUGAGAGGGUGACCCCCCAGACUGGGACUGAGAUACGGCCCAGACUCCUACGGGAGGCAGCAAUUAGGAAUCUUGCACAAUGGACGAAAGUCUGAUGCAGCGACGUCGCGUGGAGGAUGAAGGUUUUCGGAUCGUAAACUCCUUUUAUAGUCGAACAAGUUCUGAGUGUAGACUAUGAAUAAGAUGCUUCUAACUACGUGCCAGAAGAAUCGGUGAUACGUAGGCAUCAAGCGUUAUCCGGAAUUACUGGGCGUAAAGAGACGCGUAGGUGUUUUAGUAAGUCUUCUGUUAAAUCCUGCAGCUUAACUGUGGAACUGCGGAAGAAACUACAAAAAUUGAGGUAUUCAGGGGAAAGGGGAAUUCCUGGUGGAGCGGUGAAAUGCGUUGAUAUCAGGAGGAACACCAAUAGCGAAGGCACCUUUCUGGGAAUUACCUGACACUAAGGCUCGAAAGCUAGGGGAGCAAAACGGAUUAGAUACCCGUGUAGUCCUAGCUGUAAACGAUCCCUAUUAGAUAUUUGACUUGGCCUUUAAGUUCUUUCUUCGUGAGGGAAUGAUGGGGCCGGUGAAGUGUCACAGCUAACGCA
rnacentral:rRNA from 1 species